AAGUCGUAACAAGGUUUCCGUAGGUGAACCUGCGGAAGGAUCAUUAACACGUUAUCCAAAACGAUAAACCAACCGUGAACUUGUUUAACCCUGACUUGGAUGAAUUUUUCGCUGCUUGUUCUCGUGCUUCGGCAGGCCGUGAACCGUGCCUUUUGGUGUCAAAGCCAAGAGGACCGGAACGGCAUACGUGCGGGACAGUACUGCCCCCAGCGAUGUGAUGUUUGAAGAAGACAUCUCUCGCUUAUCUGGCACCGUGCGGGACGGAUAUUUCUCCCACAUAUAGGUGACCUGGGCUCCAAGUCAGAUGAGAAUUAAGCCGAUACUAACCCCAUGACUAACGUUAUAAAUUCUAGAAGAGAGAAAUCUCAACUGGAAGUAAAACUUACGUACAACUCUUAGCAACGGAUAUCUUGGUUCUC
rnacentral:misc_RNA from 1 species